GGGCGGGUCCCACGGGACGGG
rnacentral:siRNA from 1 species